rnacentral:rRNA from 1 species
AUUGAACGCUGGCGGCAUGCCUUACACAUGCAAGUCGAACGGCAGCACGGGUGCUUGCACCUGGUGGCGAGUGGCGAACGGGUGAGUAAUACAUCGGAACAUGUCCUGUAGUGGGGGAUAGCCCGGCGAAAGCCGGAUUAAUACCGCAUACGAUCUACGGAUGAAAGCGGGGGACCUUCGGGCCUCGCGCUAUAGGGUUGGCCGAUGGCUGAUUAGCUAGUUGGUGGGGUAAAGGCCUACCAAGGCGACGAUCAGUAGCUGGUCUGAGAGGACGACCAGCCACACUGGGACUGAGACACGGCCCAGACUCCUACGGGAGGCAGCAGUGGGGAGUUUUGGACAAUGGGCGAAAGCCUGAUCCAGCAAUGCCGCGUGUGUGAAGAAGGCCUUCGGGUUGUAAAGCACUUUUGUCCGGAAAGAAAUCCUUGGCCCUAAUACGGUCGGGGAUGACGGUACCGGAAGAAUAAGCACCGGCUAACUACGUG